UAAAAUUUUAUUAAUCCUUAGAAUAAGUAUUAAAGGUAUAUAUUCUAUUAAAAGAAUCAACAUUAAUUCAAACAGUUAUUUAAGAUUCAGGCAUACAAAAAGCAUCUAAAGAUGCAUAGUAAGAAGUAACACUGUAUGUCAAGAUCACAUGAUAGCAGUAAAAAAUUCAUGUAAGAAAUGGCACCUACUCCUACCUCUGAUGUUUUAUAUGUCCAUGUUUGUUCUCUUGAUUUCUAUUGUGUAAUGGACUUUUGAGCUUCAUUACUGUACGAGUAUUAUCUCCAUAUAUUUAUGUGUAAUACAAAGUCCAUCAUUGUAUGAUUUUCACAACUUAAGUGCAGGUUUCUGAUUGUACAAAUUAUGGACCCUGUAGGACUAGAUUUGAGAUAAUAAGUUUUCCCAAGAAGUCAUUUUGAUAUACCGGUAAGAAUACAUUAACUACAAAAUUGAUUGUGAGCAUUGAUUCCAGUUUGUAUAUGUACAGAUCCUGGGUUUAGGGUACGUAAGGGUGCAAUGUGAAAGGGGGGGUCGGGUUAUUUACCUAAAUCCUUUUUAUUUGUGGAAUAUUUCAGUUUAGGAUUGUGUGGAUCUAGGCCUAAGGGUCAGGGGUUCAUGUGUGGUAGGGACACUACUGAUUAUUGCUGAAUAUUACUGAUUAGUUGAAAUGGGUGUUUGUUCCCCUACCCUGCCUAUUGGUAUUAAGUAACCAACUGAAGCAACUGCUAAGUGUAUAGUUAUAAUGAUCAAUGGUGCCUCUUUCAAAAUUGUGAAUGUCAUAGCAUGUCUUAAAACAUGAAUCAAAUUCAAUCACAGGACAGUUGUUGCAUAAUGCUCAGGUGACCUAUAAGGCCCAUGGGCCUCUUGUUAUAGUUGGAGUAAGAAUAUUUGUUCGAGAAACUUUUAUUUCAUGGUUGAAGAAUUUAAGACACGUCAUACCUUAUUCUUGAAUUUAAAUAUUCGAGGAGGGCAUGAAUUUGUGUUUCUCUGUACUUUUAAAAUAUUGAACCCCCAUGAAUAAUAAAGAUUUCACCACUUGUCAUAUAUUUUAAAUCUUAAUAAGAUAGAUUACUUAGAAAACAGUGCACAGUAUAUAAUUCACAGAUUUCAUGGAAUGAAAUUUAUUGACAAUCACCAAUCACUUAAAAUGCAGCUAUUUAAUCCAUUCACCUUUUAAACAUAACAAAAUCUUUAACCUCCAUUACUGGGGUCAUGAUUGUCAUUUUGAUGGAGAGUUUGAGAGUUUUAUUUCAAUAAGAUGAGAAUUGUCGCCAUUUUUUCUCUCUAAAUUUUGACAAUUGCCAUCUGAUUUUUUCCUUCGUUACAGUUAUUAUACAUGUGAGCAUUUUCUUAAUUCAGGUUUUAACUUUGAUUAUAUUGGUUAGACAGAUGUGUUAAUGUUUUCUUUAUAUUAGAUUUAAUUUUUAUUAAUUCAUGAGAAAGGUCCAAAGAUGUUUAUAAGAAAUUUGUUUUGUAAAACUACAUGGGAUUUAAUUCCUUCAGUCUUGCAGUAUUUGAUCAGUUUGCACUUUAAACAUUGUCUUAUAUACGAAGAUUUUAACUGUUCUUGAUAUUUUUUAAAAAAGAUUUUCAAUUUUUAUACUAUUCUUGGCAUUUGUAUUAGGAUUUUGAAAAUUUAUUAGUUAAUAACGGUUGCUUGUAUUCUUAAUUACAGAUCUUAAAUAAUAAUAAUAAUACAUGAAAGUGUAGCUAUAUGACAGAUGUGUCAGUUUUAUUUACAUGUAGGUCAUUAUAACUGUAUAUAAUUUUUACAUUGUGAAUAUACACGAAAUUUAUGGUGUUACAAUAUAAGUAUGCCUUAAUUCAGGAAGAUGAUAUUGCUAUAUCUAUAACAGGUGAAGAAUGUUUCAAUUCGAUUUAUAUGAUACAUAUAAUGUUUAUCCUUGUUACAUGUUUGUUAUGGAAAUUGGCCAUAAAAACCAUUAAUAAAUCACACGAUACAAUG